rnacentral:rRNA from 1 species
AGAAUGAACGCUGGCGGCAUGCCUAACACAUGCAAGUCGAACGAAGGCUUCGGCCUUAGUGGCGCACGGGUGCGUAACGCGUGGGAAUCUACCCUUAGGUUCGGAAUAACAGUUGGAAACGACUGCUAAUACCGGAUGAUGACGUAAGUCCAAAGAUUUAUCGCCCAGGGAUGAGCCCGCGUAGGAUUAGCUAGUUGGUGAGGUAAAAGCUCACCAAGGCGACGAUCCUUAGCUGGUCUGAGAGGAUGAUCAGCCACACUGGGACUGAGACACGGCCCAGACUCCUACGGGAGGCAGCAGUGGGGAAUAUUGGACAAUGGGCGAAAGCCUGAUCCAGCAAUGCCGCGUGAGUGAUGAAGGCCUUAGGUUGUAAAGCUCUUUUACCCGGGAUGAUAAUGACAGUACCGGAGAAUAAGCUCCGGCUAACUCCGCGCCAGCAGCCGC